GCCCUGGUGGAUCAACAUAGAUCGUCCCUAAUUCUUGAUGCUGUUCCAACGUGAAAAUUGUCUAGGGAAGAUGGAGGUUCGAAUCCUCCUCAGGGUA